GGGGCUCCCUCUGCGAGGGGCCGGGGCCGGGGCUUGGCGGCUUUGCUGACGAGGGGCCUGGGCAGCCACAGCAGGGCCGGGAGCCCCAGGCCGGCGGCUGCCAGCGCGUUCAGGAGCAGCCCUGUGGGGAUCGGGGCCGCAGGCUGCCCUCUGUCAGCUCGGCUGGCAAGCGCCUGGCCUGGGGCCUCACUCCGCCGGGCGCAGCUUCGAGCUCCCGGAGCUCGGGCUGCCGGCUUGCAGGCUGGGGCGGCCGAGGUGUGGAGCUCACAGCCACUGGAGUGCUCCCACGGCGACAAACCUCACACGUCCAGCUAGAAACGACUGCUCAGAGACCCAGUGCUCGGCGCUUCGUGUGUGCGUUUCUGGUGUCGGGACGACGUGGACGCGCCAGGCCGCAGGCGGACAGAGUGACAGGACCAGAGCGAUCUUCCACCUGCAGCCUCACUCCCCAGAUGCCCACAACGGUCAGGGCUGGGCCGGGCGAAGCUAGGGCCCAGGAACUCCGCUGGGCCUCCCGCGUGGCUGGCAGGGGCCCAGGUCCCUGUGCCUGCACCUGCUGCCACACCCGGUGCACUGGCAGAGUCGGAUAGNNNNNNNNNNNNNNNNNNNNNNNNNNNNNNNNNNNNNNNNNNNNNNNNNNNNNNNNNNNNNNNNNNNNNNNNNNNNNNNNNNNNNNNNNNNNNNNNNNNNGCGUACGUGCCGGCGUUGUAGGCUGGGACUUGAACUGUGGUCCUCACCACCCAAACGCACAGCUGCUUUGGGAGCUUUGAGAAUCUCCACUGGAAGGUUCAUCUUCCGAGUCUGCCCCUUCCCUGACCCCUCCAAGGUCCUGGACCACAGACCCGGGAGGAGGGUGUAGGGCUGGGUCCAGCAGCUUUUGCUGCUCUAUAACCAGGAGCCUGCACUGUACUUGUCCAGGAGCCCUCAGUGUACUUGAUUGAGGAGCCCUCAGUGCACUUGGUCAGGAACCCUCAGUGUACUUGUCCAGGAGCCCUCAGUGCACGUGGCCAGGAGCCCUCAGUGCACUUGUCCAGGAGACCUCAGUACACGUGGCCAGGAGACCUCAGUGCAUGUGGCCAGGAGCCCUCAGUGUACUCGAUUAAAGAACCCUCAGUACACGUGGCCAGGAGCCCUCAGUGUACUUGUCCAGGAGCCCUCAGUGUACUUGAUCCAGGAGCCCUCAGUGCACUUGGCCAGGAGUCCUCAGUACACGUGACCAGGAGCCCUCAGUGUACUUGUCCAGGAGCCCUCAGUGCACGUGGCCAGGAGCCCUCAGUGUACUUGAUUGAGGAGCCCUCAGUACACGUGUCCAGGAGCCCUCAGUGCAUGUGGCCAGGAGCCCUCAGUGUACUUGAUCCAGGAGCCCUCAGUGCACGUGGCCAGGAGCCCUCAGUGCAUUUGGCCAGGAGAGCUGAAGCUGUGCUGGGGACACUGGAAUCCAUCCAGACUGCCCGGAUCAGAGAGGGGCUGGGGGACUUGUGCGUGUGGGGAUGCCUACACUGGGCUCCGCCUGCUCUUGCUGCAGCCUCUGAACUGGGCAGGUUCCUGGGAGCCUCUGCCCUCCGUGACCUCACUGUGAGAACUCUGUGCUCGCCCGACUGGUCUGUCUUUGAUUCACAAGUUUUAUCAGGGUCUUCAGGGAGUGCGCUGGGGAUCUGCACCGGCUGUGUGUGUGGUGGGGGGAGGGGCUCCAUGGGGCAGAGUCACAAGCCCCAGGAGCUUCCCUAAGUGUCCCGGCCACCUGCCCUGCUGGGCUCCCUGGAAUCCUGAGCACUGGGAGUUAGCCCGGGAGCCGAGCUCCUCUUCCCAGGAAGGGUGUGGGCCCACUCUGGGGGCGUCCUAGACCUGGCCAGCAGCAGUCUCCACUCACGGGGGCCGGGCUGUUCCUCUCGCACAGCGCUGCCUGCACCGGCCCAGGGCCAUCUGCUUUGGGCUGCCUGGAGUCCGCGUGGGGCGGGGGUGCCCGUCAGUGGACAGAGAGGCCUGCCUCCGCCCUGGCUCCCAGCCCUGCUGCUGGACACGGGUGCCGGGCAUCUCCUGAGCUCCAUGCACAGGAAACCCCUUGUCAUUCCUGGCAGGUGGCUGCCCCCGAGGCAGCGCCGGCUCGGGCUCCCUGCCUACCUCCUCCCACCCCCCGGGGCACAGGUGGACCACAAGCAUGGAGGGGCCAGCGGCACUGAGCGGGCGCCAGGUGAGUGGCCGGGCCCUGCUCUCGGGAACAGGGGCUCUGGCUGCCAGCCCACUCAGUGUCCACCCCUGCCUGUGGAACGGGGAGACAGCAAGUUGUGUUCAGUCGUUUUGUGAACCAUUGUCACCAGCCCCGGGAACUGAGACACUGGGCCGUGAUUCCAGGUGAGCCAGGCUUGUCCUCAGGGCACCCCCAGGUCCCCAGCACACCCUGGGCAGGGCCCGUGGCCCUCUGUGCCCCCAGCUCCCAGCAGGGCCUGGCUUGUGGCCCCAUCGGGUCCCUUCUCCAGGCGGCUGCUUCGGCUCCAGGUCCACAGACCGUGCUCGAUGCAGGGCAGCACCUGUGCCAGGCCAGGCGGCUCCUGCACCCGGUGGGCGGAGCGGGAGACUUGAGACGCCCUCGCCCAGCAGUGCCAGGGCCGCCCUCCCGGCAGAUGGGCAGCCACAGCCGCCGUCGGCUGCUCCGGUCACGGUUCUUUUAAGGAAGGGCAUUUGCUGAGGGAGGGACCGGGGCUGAGAUCGGGUCCACCUGAGCACUGCC
ensembl:lncRNA